rnacentral:rRNA from 1 species
CCUACGGGCGGCAGCAGUGGGGAAUAUUGGACAAUGGGGGGAACCCUGAUCCAGCCAUGCCGCGUGUGUGAAGAAGGCCCUCGGGUUGUAAAGCACUUUCAGUGAGGAAGAACGCCUGGUGGUUAAUACCCAUCAGGAAAGACAUCACUCACAGAAGAAGCACCGGCUAACUCCGUGCCAGCAGCCGCGGUAAUACGGAGGGUGCGAGCGUUAAUCGGAAUUACUGGGCGUAAAGCGCGCGUAGGUGGCUUGAUAAGCCGGUUGUGAAAGCCCCGGGCUCAACCUGGGAACGGCAUCCGGAACUGUCAAGCUAGAGUGCAGGAGAGGAAGGUAGAAUUCCCGGUGUAGCGGUGAAAUGCGUAGAGAUCGGGAGGAAUACCAGUGGCGAAGGCGGCCUUCUGGACUGACACUGACACUGAGGUGCGAAAGCGUGGGUAGCGAACAGGAUUAGAUACCCGGGUAGUC